rnacentral:rRNA from 1 species
UACAGGGGGGGCAAGCGUUGUUCGGAAUUACUGGGCGUAAAGCGCACGCAGGUGGCUGAGUCAGUCGAUUGUGAAAGCCCUGGGCUUAACCUGGGAAUUGCAGUCGAUACUACUCGGCUCGAGUAUGGGAGAGGGCAGUGGAAUUCCCGGUGCAGCGGUGAAAUGCGUAGAUAUCGGGAGGAACACCAAUGGCGAAGGCAGCUCGCUGGGACGGUACUGACGCUGAGACGCGAAAGCGUGGGGAGCAAACAGG